AGUGCUUAUUGUUUAGUGAUUCAAAAAGUAAAGUGAAGGACACUGCACUAAACAGAUACAACUAGAGAAAAAACAUUCAAGAGGGAGCUGGUCAACACAAAACAGAUCUCCAACGUGCCACAAAGGACAAGGGGCAGCUACGCAAGGAGAGACAACACCAAAAAGGCCCAACCACCACUCACCCCUACCCACACUGCACCAACAUAUGUGGCUGCCGGAUUGGCCUCUACAGCCACCUGAAGACCCACAAAUAGAAGACCUCAUUGAGGACAGUCAUACUCGACUCGAGUGAUCGCCGAUGAUGAUGAUAAUAAUCAUUUGACUAUGUAGUUUUGGUGCUCUUGCAGUGGUUGUAUGAAGCUGCCGGUCUUGGUGGUUGUCUCACUGCUGCCUGUGCCCAGGCUGCAGACCCCCCUGCACGCAGCCUCCGGGACAUACUGUAGUGAGGAAGAGCUCCCUGAGACGGAAGGUGUCCCUCUUGAACCCAGUACUGGAAGGUAGGGUCCCCCCCACUGAACAGUAUAGGUCCAGUCCAGGCCCCACUGACCCCUCCUGAGUUUGAGGACGAACAGAAGCCUGCUACAUUCAUGUUCGGGGACAAUGUCAGGGGGUGGCAGGUAGCCUAGUGGUUAGAGUGUUGGACCAAAGACUCAGUCGGAACGUGCCCCGGAGUGGGCAUCUACAUGGAGAAGAACAAGUAUGGCUUGGGGAGGUGGUCCCUCAGUUCGAGGCCUUCUUCCUGCCCUGGGAGGGCGAUGAGUGCUGGUACAAGAGCUACCAGGUCCUGACCAUCAACAGGGACGCCUACAGCCAGCACAUCUCCUACGUCAAGUACGGCAUCGAUGAGGUGGAAAUAUUCCACUACCCCAGUCAAAUACUGUAUGGAAAAUGAUAUUACCAUGUACUAUUUUUCUUUUCAGCACUUCAAAAAGAACAGUUUUGAAAUGUGUAUGUUGUGUUUUUUGCUAUUGGAUAAAAUGGUGAAUGAAUUCAUGUUUUUUUUGCACAAUCAAAGAUUCUGAACAUAAGAUAGGGGGCAUUUGUUUUCAGUUUAGAAUUUUGUAGUCAGAGUUAUGAAAAUAUACCACAUCUGAAAAAUGUACCAAAGAAAAAACUUUAUUUGUGGUCUCAUAACAUCUCAUAACAUCGCCUCCAUUGCCAUUACUAUAAUAGAACAGUAGGGGGCAGCAACAGCAAAGCAACGGCUUUCAGAGAGAAGGAGUAGACC
ensembl:lncRNA